rnacentral:ncRNA from 1 species
GUUUACGCAAUGGGGUGUCCAAAAAUAAACGGACUGAGAUCAUACCCAAAGAACCUGAUCCGGUUAGUACCGGCGUAGGGAGGGCGAAAGGAAUUCAA